GAGUUUGAUCAUGGCUCAGGACGAACGCUGGCGGUGUGCUUAACACAUGCAAGUCAACGUGAAUUUAUCUUCGGAUAAUAGUAAAGUGGCGAACGGGUGAGUAACGCGUAAAUAACUUGCCUUGGAGAUUGGGACAACAUUGGGAAACCAGUGCUAAUACCAAAUAAUGCAGCGGGCCCUUCGGGGCAUAGUUGUUAAAGUAGGCUUCGGCUUACACUUCAAGAUAGAUUUGCGUCCGAUUAGUUAGUUGGUAGGGUAAUAGCCUACCAAGACCGAGAUCGGUAGCUGGUCUGAGAGGAUGAUCAGCCACACUGGAAUUGAGAUACGGUCCAGACUCCUACGGGAGGCAGCAGUGAGGAAUUUUGCACAAUGAGCGAAAGCCUGAUGCAGCAACACCGCGUGAUUGAUGAAGUUUUUAGGAAUGUAAAAAUCUGUCGUAAGGGAAGAAAUGUUUCGGAUGUUAAUACCAUCUGUUACUGACGGUACCUUACAAGAAAGGACCGGCUAACUUCGUGCCAGCAGCCGCGGUAAUACGAGGGGUCCUAGCGUUGUCCGGAUUUACUGGGCGUAAAGGGUACGUAGGCGUUUUAAUAAGUUGUAUGUUAAAUAUCUUAGCUUAACUAAGAAAGUGCAUACAAAACUGUUAAGAUAGCGUUUGAGAGAGGAACGCAGAAUUCAUGGUGGAGCGGUGACAUGCGUAGAUAUCAUGAGGAAAGUCAAAUGCGAAGGCAGCCUUCUGGCCCAAAACUGACGCUGAGGUACGAAAGCGUGGGGAGCGAACAGGAUUAGAUACCCUGGUAGUCCACGCCGUAAACGAUGAGUAUUUGGUGCUGGGGGAUUCGACCCUUUCAGUGCCGUAGCUAACGCGAUAAAUACUCCGCCUGGGGACUACGAUCGCAAGAUUGAAACUCAAAGGAAUUGACGGGGACCCGCACAAGCGGUGGAACAUGUGGUUUAAUUCGAUGAUACGCGAAGAACCUUACCUGGGUUUGACAUGUCAGAGAAAGUUUUCCGAAAGGAGAACCCUUUAAUAAUUUAUUAUUAAACUCUGUCACAGGUGAUGCAUGGCUGUCGUCAGCUCGUGUCGUGAGAUGUUAGGUUAAGUCCUGCAACGAGCGCAACCCCUAUAUUUAGUUGCCAGCACAUAAUGGUGGGGACUCUAAAUAGACUGCCCGGAAUAACCGGGAGGAAGGUGGGGAUGAUGUCAAGUCAGUAUGUCCCUUAUACCCAGGGCUACACACGUGUUACAAUGGAUAGUACAAAAAGUAGCAAUUCCGCGAGGAGGAGCCAAUCUUUAAAACUAUCCCCAGUUCAGAUUGAAGUCUGAAAUUCGACUUCAUGAAGCAGGAAUCGCUAGUAAUCGUAGGUCAGCACACUACGGUGAAUACGUUCCCGGGUCUUGUACACACCGCCCGUCAAGUCAUGGAAGUCUGCAGUACCCAAAGAUGGUAUCCUAACCGCAAGGAGGGAGCUGUUUAAGGUAAGGCAGGUAACUGGGACUAAGUCGUAACAAGGUAACC
rnacentral:rRNA from 1 species